UGAGUAACCUGCCCUUAACUCUGGGAUAAGCCUGGGAAACUGGGUCUAAUACCGGAUAUGACUCCUCAUCGCAUGGUGGGGGGUGGAAAGCUUUAUUGUGGUUUUGGAUGGACUCGCGGCCUACCAGCUUGUUGGUGAGGUAAUGGCUCACCAAGGCGACGACGGGUAGCCGGCCUGAGAGGGUGACCGGCCACACUGGGACUGAGACACGGCCCAGACCUCCGUACGGGAGGCAG
rnacentral:rRNA from 1 species